ACUGAACGCUGGCGGCAGGCUUAACACAUGCAAGUCGAGCGGGGUGAUGGUGCUUGCACUAUCACUUAGCGGCGGACGGGUGAGUAAUGCUUAGGAACCUGCCUAUUAGUGGGGGACAACAUCUCGAAAGGGAUGCUAAUACCGCAUACGUCCUACGGGAGAAAGCAGGGGAUCUUUAUGACCUUGCGCUAAUAGAUGAGCCUAAGUCGGAUUAGCUAGUUGGUGGGGUAAAGGCCUACCAAGGCGACGAUCUGUAGCGGGUCUGAGAGGAUGAUCCGCGACACUGGGACUGCGACACGGCCCAGAGUCCGACGGGAGGCAGCAGUGGGGAAUAUUGGGCAGUGGGCGAAAGCCUGACCCAGCCACGCCGCGUGAGUGAUGAAGGCCUUCGGGUCGUAAAGCUCUGUGGGGAGGGACGAACAAGCCCGGAUUUAAAAGACCGGGCUCUGACGGUACCUCCUUAGCAAGCACCGGCUAACCAUGUGCCAGCCGCCGCGGUAAAAC
rnacentral:rRNA from 1 species